UUUUUUUUUUUUUUUUUUUUUUUUAGAGAGGAUCUUGCCUUGUUUCUCAGGCUGGCCUUAAACUCCUGGGCUUAAGUAAUCCUCCUGCCCCAGACUUCUAAUUGGCUGGGACUACAGGCAUGUACCACUGUGCCUAGUAGUUUAAUUAGUGUGAUGCAUCAUUUAUAAUCUGUGUAAGCCAAUUAUUAUGUCCCAUCACUAUACUCAUCUUGCUUACCCUUGAUUGUCCUUCGGGAAUAAGAAUUGAAUGAACUGGAAUUGUGAAGAAGAGGGUUCUCAUUACUGUUUUUAUUUUCCCUUUAUUCUUUAAUUUUACCCUCAGUUUCUUCUAGGAAUUACUUUACUCUGGGAAUGUUCUUAAUCACUGACUAGAGAUGAAGAUAAAAUGAAAUUUGGUCACCUUCAUAAGAUGUUGAUAUUCUAGUCCAUUUGCUAAUUUUAGUCUAAAUAGUAGGGAAAGGAUUUGAACCAUAAACAUAAAUUCAGUCUUAAAACAUUAUUCUUAAACCGUAUUUACCUGCAUUGAAGACAUACAUUGUAUUUGCCAACUCAAUAGAAGAACAGACAUAUACUUGAUUGUACAGCUCAACAGAAGGAGAACAGACAUAUACUUGAUUGUAGAUAAAUAAUACAAAAGAAAGGAGCUCCUCCUUUUCUCUUUCCCAACUUGAGUAUCAUCACACCCCUUUCCUUUCAGCACCCAGAGUUCCUUUUGUUUCUAUUAUUCCCCCUAAACCUAGAGCUCACUGAAAUUAAAAAGAAUGCUGUGGUUCCUCUCGGGACUGUUGGGUGACUUGAGCCUUUGACAAAUGCAUUACCCUAGGUUUUUUCAUCUCCAGCCCCUCAGCUUCCAGUAUUGCACAGUUGCUGUAUAUAAUUCCAUAUAUAACAUCAGAUCUUUAUGAUCUUUCAUCACAUUUUGAAAAGUAUGGUUCCACUGAACCUAAGCAGUAGGUUUGUAUUCAAGAAUACGAAGAAGUGGCCGGGCGCGGUGGCUCACGCCUGUCAUCCCAGCACUUUGGGAGGCUGAGGCAGGCGGAUCAUGAAGUCAGGAGAUUGAGACCAUCCUGGCUAACAUGGUGAAACCCUGUCUCUACUAAGUAUACAAAAAAAGUAGCCGGGCGUGGUGGUGGGUGCCUGUAGUCCCAGCUACUCGGGAGGCUGAGGCAGGAGAAUGGGCCUGAACCCGGGAGGCGGAGCUUGCAGUGAGCCGAGAUUGCACCACUGCACUCCAGCCUGGGCAACAGAGCGAGACUCCAUCUCAAAAAAAAAAAAAAAAAAA
rnacentral:lncRNA from 1 species